rnacentral:miRNA from 1 species
CCAGCUCCCUCAUGAUGGCUUCAUGACACGCUGCAACUCACAUCACGAGUGCACGGAUGUUAUGAAGUCAUCAGGAGGGAGCUGGAUGAGCUUCGUG